rnacentral:rRNA from 1 species
UACGUAGGUGACAAGCGUUGUCCGGAUUUACUGGGCGUAAAGAGCGCGCAGGCGGUCGAUCAAGUCGAGUGUGAAAGCCCCCGGCUCAACUGGGGAGGGUCAUUCGAUACUGAUCGACUCGAAGGCAGGAGAGGGUAGUGGAAUUCCCGGUGUAGUGGUGAAAUGCGUAGAUAUCGGGGAGGAACACCGGUGGCGAAGGCGGCAUCCUGGACCGGUAUUGACGCUGAUGCGCGAAAAGCCAGGGGGAGCAAACAGGAUUAGAAAACCCUUG